rnacentral:misc_RNA from 1 species
AACAAGGCGUACCUGCGGACCUGCGGAAGGAUCAUUAACACUAAUACAUACUCCAAAUAACUUUGCGAAUUUGUUAAAGUCUUUCCUACACAGUGAACAAAACAUACGCAUCUACUGUUGCUGUCGUGUUUUGGAUAGCUACUGUUGCAGAGAAAGAUUUGUGACAAUGCUGACGAAAUAAUCAACAAUAAAUAUACCCUUCUACGAAUGGUCUGUUUAUUGUAACCAUAAAAUAACCAA